AUUGAACGCUGGCGGCAGGCUUAACACAUGCAAGUCGAGCGGGGUGAUGGUGCUUGCACUAUCACCUAGCGGCGGACGGGUGAGUAAUGCUUAGGAAUCUGCCUAUUAGUGGGGGACAACAUUUCGAAAGGAAUGCUAAUACCGCAUACGUCCUACGGGAGAAAGCAGGGGAUCUUCGGACCUUGCGCUAAUAGAUGAGCCUAAGUCGGAUUAGCUAGUUGGUGGGGUAAAGGCCUACCAAGGCGACGAUCUGUAGCGGGUCUGAGGGGAUGAUCCGCCACACUGGGACUGAGACACGGCCCAGACUCCUACGGGAGGCAGCAGUGGGGAAUAUGGGACAAUGGGCGCAAGCCUGAUCCAGCCAUGCCGCGUGUGUGAAGAAGGCCUUAUGGUUGUAAAGCACUUUAAGCGGGGAGGAGGCUACUUUAGAUAAUACCGAGAGAUAGUGGACGUUACUCGCAGAAUAAGCACCGGCUAACUCUGUGCCAGCCGCCGCGGUAAGAC
rnacentral:rRNA from 1 species